CUGUUCACACAUGUCAGAUAGAGACAUGCGUGUUAUAAAUUAUUUUGUCAGAAUGAGAGCCUGGCAGAUUAAAUGCUUUCUUCUCUUCUUGCUGGACUUGAUAUCAAUCUCUUGUUCAUUUCUUGAUAAUAUGUUUGGUUAUUUUUGUUUUCAUUGCUUUUAGUGUCAGAGAUGGCUUUGGAUUCCCUGUUCUGCGUGCUCCUGCCUGGCUCCUGAACCCAGCUGGAGAGGUGUGUCAAUCCCAACUGGUGAAGUACUGAGAGGAAGCUGCACAAAAGGCAGCAAGGUAUUACUGAGUGGUGUCAUUGAGCAAACACAGAGUGGGGCUCAUCGAGGGAUGAGAUUUUGCCAGAGAAAGGACGAGCAGCAAGUCAGGGAGCUUAAGGUAAUUAUGAGAAAGUGACUAUCUAAAAUUGCUUAGGUAGAAGGAGACAGAUUGGGUUUUUGUGUGUUUGGUAUUUGGGGUAAGAGGGA
rnacentral:lncRNA from 1 species